rnacentral:lncRNA from 1 species
AAAUCCCUGAGUGUUAGUGUUUUGUUGUGUUCCCAAUCCAAAAUCCCCGAAGCUUGUCCAUCCUUCAUGCUCACCUGCACUGUCGUACUCAUCCCUACACUGUUGCUGUUGAGACUCGAUAUGUGAAUAAUAUGGCUGGGAUAGGGUGGCCUCAGAAUCAUCAUCUCUCUCAUUUUCUCUUAGACCCCCUUCCCACUCUCCCUCAUUAGGUACAAUAUCACCGACAUAUUGUGGAUACAUUGGCUGGCUG